UUGGAGGAUGGCACUAUGCAUUGCAUUCAUACAUCAGCAUCAUUCCCAUUUUGCAUUUAUCUGCAUCUAACUCAUGUUUAUCCAUAUGCAGGGGACAUUCUUGAUCGAGAUCCGGGUUGAGAGACUUCUUUGUUUCAGAUAUGAGGACCGACUUGAAAGAUGACGUCGUCUACAGUUUCUUUAAUCCAGAGAUUGAUGUGCUGAGAGAUAUGAUAGCAUUGAUUACACCUGACCAUGUGGGGAUGUUCC
rnacentral:lncRNA from 1 species